GUGGGGAAUAUUGCACAAUGGGGGAAACCCUGAUGCAGCAACGCCGCGUGAAGGAAGAAGGCCUUUGGGUCGUAAACUUCUGUCCUAAGGGAAGAUAAUGACGGUACCUUUGGAGGAAGCCCCGGCUAACUACGUGCCAGCAGCCGCGGUAAUACGUAGGGGGCGAGCGUUAUCCGGAAUUAUUGGGCGUAAAGAGUGCGUAGGCGGUUUUUUAAGCGCGGGGUGAAAGGCAAUGGCUUAACCAUUGUUAGCCCUGCGAACUGGGAGACUUGAGUGCAGGAGAGGAAAGCGGAAUUCCUAGUGUAGCGGUGAAAUGCGUAGAUAUUAGGAGGAACACCAGUGGCGAAGGCGGCUUUCUGGACUGUAACUGACGCUGAGGCACGAAAGUGUGGGGAGCAAACAGGA
rnacentral:rRNA from 1 species